rnacentral:hammerhead_ribozyme from 1 species
AUCCAACUGUCGAAUCCUAAAUAGGACGAGACGCGAUUCCUGUAU